CUGCAUGUAGAAUUUUUUGUGCUUCUCACUAAUAGAAGCAUAAGUAUAUUCAAAACAUGCUAUAGAAUACAUUGGAGUGUUCAGGGCUGCCAGCCUUUCAGGAAAGGCUGAGUGGUAGUAUAAUUCUCCUACAUUG
ensembl:snoRNA